rnacentral:rRNA from 1 species
GCUGGCGGCAUGCCUAACACAUGCAAGUCGAACGCUCCCGGGGCUUCGGUCCCGGGGGAGUGGCGCACGGGUGAGUAGCGCGUGGGAACCUGCCCUGUUGUGGGGGAUAACCGAGGGAAACUUCGGCUAAUACCGCAUGCGCCCGAAGGUAACUUCGGGGAAAGAUUUAUCGCAGCAGGAGGGGCCCGCGUCGGAUUAGCUAGUUGGUGGGGUAACGGCCCACCAAGGCGAUGAUCCGUAGCUGGUCUGAGAGGAUGAUCAGCCACACUGGGACUGAGACACGGCCCAGACUCCUACGGGAGGCAGCAGUGGGGAAUAUUGGACAAUGGGCGCAAGCCUGAUCCAGCAAUGCCGCCGUGAGUGAUGAAGGCCUUCGGGUUGUAAAGCUCUUUCGCCCGCGACGAUGAUGACGGUAGCGGGAGAAGAAGCCCCGGCUAACUUCGUGCCA